CGUAAAAUGGCUGACUAAAGGAUUAGACUAUAAAUCUAAGAACAGAAGUUCAAGCCCUCUUUUUACCA
rnacentral:tRNA from 1 species